UUAGUAUGCUUUUAGCAAACAAACUCACUGGUCUUUCUUUACUAUUAAUAAUGUGCUAAUUUUGUAUUUGAGUUUCUGAUCAAACUUUUUAUUCCUUUGUCAUCUUUUCCUAGUUUAAUGGAUCGAGAAGUGGCGUUGCUUGCUGAAAUGGACAAAGUGAAAGCUGAAGCAACACUUUGUUAGUGAACGUAAAUAUGAUGAGGAUCUGGGACGAGUAGCCCGGUUCACCUGUGAUGUAGAGACCCUAAAGAAGAGCAUUGAUUCAUUUGGACAAG
rnacentral:lncRNA from 1 species